rnacentral:rRNA from 1 species
UACAGAGGGGGCAAGCGUUGUUCGGAAUUACUGGGCGUAAAGGGCGCGCAGGCGGCUUAUUUUGUCAGGCGUGAAAGCCCCGGGCUUAACCUGGGAACUGCGUCUGAUACUGGAUGGCUUGAGUUCGGGAGAGGGAUGCGGAAUUCCAGGUGUAGCGGUGAAAUGCGUAGAUAUCUGGAGGAACACCGGUGGCGAAGGCGGCAUCCUGGACCGACACUGACGCUGAGGAGCGAAAGCCAGGGGAGCAAACGGG